rnacentral:rRNA from 1 species
CCUACGGGGGGCAGCAGUGAGGAAUAUUGGUCAAUGGGCGAGAGCCUGAACCAGCCAAGUCGCGUGAGGGAGUACUGCCCUAUGGGUUGUAAACCUCUUUUGUCGGGGAGCAAACGCCGGACGUGUCCGGCUGUGAGAGUACCCGAAGAAAAAGCAUCGGCUAACUCCGAGCCAGCAGCCGCGGUAAUACGGAGGGGGCAAGCGUUAUCCGGAAUUACUGGGUGUAAAGGGAGCGUAGACGGUGAUGUAAGUCUGGAGUGAAAGGCGGGGGCCCAACCCCCGGACUGCUCUGGAAACUAGGUGACUGGAGUGCAGGAGAGGUGAGCAGAAUUCCUAGUGUAGCGGUGAAAUGCGUAGAGAUUAGGAGGAACACCAGUGGCGAAGGCGGCUCACUGGACUGGAACUGACGUUGAGGCUCGAAAGCGUGGGGAGCAAACAGGAUUAGAUACCCGGGUAGUC